rnacentral:rRNA from 1 species
UACAGAGGUCCCAAGCGUUGUUCGGAUUUACUGGGCGUAAAGGGUGCGUAGGCGGUGAGGCAAGUCUGAUGUGAAAGCUUCGAGCUUAACUCGAAAACGGCAUUGGAAACUGCCUCGCUUGAGGUUUGGAGGGGGGACUGGAAUACUUGGUGUAGCAGUGAAAUGCGUAGAGAUCAAGUGGAACACCAGUGGCGAAGGCGAGUCCCUGGACAAAACCUGACGCUGAGGCACGAAAGCUAGGGGAGCAAACAGG